GUGACCCCAGGAUGGGCGAGGCCACCCGCCGAGUUUAAGCAUAUCAAUAAGCGGAGGAGAAG
rnacentral:rRNA from 8 species